GCAGUCGAGCGCGAAGUUUGGUGAAGGAUCCUUCGGGUGACUGAUCCUGCGAGUAGAGCGGCGAAAGGGUGAGUAAUACAUGGCUAACUUACCCCUGUGAUUGGAAUAACCGCGGGAAACUGCGGCUAAUACCGGAUAGUCUCAUGGAAUCACAUGUUUCCAUGAGUAAAGGUUGGGAUCCCUUCGGGGACCAUCUGCACAGGGAGAGGGUCAUGCGCUAUCAGCUUGUUGGUGGGGUAAAAGCCCACCAAGGCUAAGACGGCUAGGCGAUCUGAGAGGAUGGUCGCCCACAUCGGGACUGAGACACUGCCCGGACUCCUACGGGAGGCUGCAGUCGAGAAUCUUCCGCAAUGGGCGAAAGCCUGACGGAGCGACGCCGCGUGAGGGACGAAGGCCUUAGGGUUGUAAACCUCUUUCGCCUGUUAAGAAUGGCUGUACGUUAAUAGCGUCCAGUUUGACAAAGGCAGGUAAAGAAGCACCGGCUAACUCCGUGCCAGCAGCCGCGGUAAGACGGAGGGUGCAAGCGUUACUCGGAAUUACUGGGCGUAAAGGGUCCGUAGGUGGAUUGGAUAGUUGGAUGUGAAAGCCCUCGGCUCAACCGAGGAAUUGCGUCCAAAACUUCCAGUCUGGAGGUUGGUAGGGGACAGUGGAACUCCAGGUGGAGCGGUGAAAUGCGUAGAUAUCUGGAGGAACACCGGUGGCGAAAGCGACUGUC
rnacentral:rRNA from 1 species